rnacentral:lncRNA from 1 species
UUUAAUUUCACCUGAAUCUAGUAAUGCCCAUAAUGAGUACAUCCCAUGGUAACAGUAUUUCCUCGAACUUAAUGCAUACAACAGAAGUAUCACUAUUGAUCUUAGUGGUUAUAUACAGACAGCGACCGCAAGAGCAAUCCCCUUCACAGUUCUUCGCACCAACUCUGAUGCCCUCCCGCGCUUCGGCUCGUGAGGGAUGGCCUCAUCUUGAUGAUUGCAGAAUCGUUGGCUCCAGCUCUCAGAGCAGCCCUUCCAGCUUCCAGGAAGCUCCUCACCGCGUUCUCUGCGUAUCUAUUGGCCUGGCCGACCGUCAUGGAUUUGCCAAGGUCUGGAUAGGUGUUAAGCACGUAGUCACCGUUCAGCUGUUGCGCGAGUUGGAUCAGUUCAACUUGGAACUCGGAGAGUUU